AUUCUGCCCAUGCGGGGAAGGAUGAGAAGCUUCGACCAAGGUUCGACUCGAGCGCCAGCGAGAGAGCGUUGCCGCAGGCAACGACCCGAA
rnacentral:sRNA from 1 species